CCUCAUGAGAAAAAGAUGUCAAGAGUGAAGUGCUACAACUGUAGCAAGAAAUGCCACUUUGCUCGCGAUUGUCGUGAGCCAAAGAAGAUUCGGGAGCAACAGACCAUGUAGCGAAGGAUAGAGAAGCCUUCGUAGAAUUCCGACGAGUUCCAACGGGAACUAAAUGGAUUUAUGUAGGGAACAACUCCAGAGCUGAGGUUAAAGGAAUUGGCACCUGCCAAUUAAUUAUGCGUGGUGGACGCACUUUGUUCCUACAUGAUGUAUUAUAUGCUCCGGAAAUUCGUCGGAACUUAGUGUCUGUUUUAGUGUUGAUUCGACUUGGUUUUAAUUUGAACUUCCAUAACAAUGGUGUAGACUUGUAUUUAGGUACGAGUUAUUAUGGUUGUGGUUAUUUUCUAGAUGGUUUUAUUGUACUGGAUGUUGAUUCUGUAAAUGUCAAUGUUUGUUAUU